rnacentral:rRNA from 1 species
CCCUUAGAUGUUCGGGGCCGCACGCGCGCUACACUGAAGGAAUCAGCACGUCUUUCUCCUUGUCCGAAAGGACUGGGUAACCCGCUGAACCUCCUUCGUGCUAGGGAUUGGGGCUUGUAAUUCUUCCCCAUGAACGAGGAAUUCCCAGUAAGCGCGAGUCAUAAGCUCGCGUUGAUUACGUCCCUGCCCUUUGUACACACCGCCCGUCGCUACUACCGAUUGGAUGGUUUAGUGAGGUCCUCGGAUUGGUCCCGGAGCGGCCUCUGGUCGUGCCGGAGUGCCGAAAAGAAUGUCGAACUUGAUCAUCUAGAGGAAGUAAAAGUCGUAACA